rnacentral:rRNA from 1 species
CAAUAAGCGGAGGAAAAGAAACCAACAGGGAUUGCCCUAGUAACGGCGAGUGAAGCGGCAACAGCUCAAAUUUGAAAUCUGGCGUUUUCAGCGUCCGAGUUGUAAUUUGCAGAGGAUGCUUCUGGGUAGUCAACGGUCUAAGUUCCUUGGAACAGGACGUCAUAGAGGGUGAGAAUCCCGUAUGUGACCGACAGGCGCCCUCCACGUAGCUCCUUCGACGAGUCGAGUUGUUUGGGAAUGCAGCUCUAAAUGGGAGGUAAAUUUCUUCUAAAGCUAAAUAUCUGCCAGAGACCGAUAGCGCACAAGUAGAGUGAUCGAAAGAUGAAAAGCACUUUGGAAAGAGAGUUAAAAAGCACGUGAAAUUGUUGAAAGGGAAGCGUUUGCCAUCAGACUUGUCGGCGGUGUUCAACCGGUCAUUUGGCCGGUCUACUCAUCGUCAGCAGGCCAGCAUCAUCUGGGGCCGUGGGAUAAUAGUCAUGGAAUGUAGCUCCUCCGAGUGUUAUAGCCAGGACUGA